rnacentral:tRNA from 1 species
AAGGAUUUAAGUUAAGCUAACUAAACUAUUAGCCUUCAAAGUUAAAAAUAGGGGAAAUCUAAGCCUUG